GACGAACGCUGGCGGCGUGCUUAACACAUGCAAGUCGAACGGAAAGGCCCUGCUUUUGUGGGGUGCUCGAGUGGCGAACGGGUGAGUAACACGUGAGUAACCUGCCCUUGACUUUGGGACAACUUCAGGAAACUGGGGCUAAUACCGGAUAGGAGCUCCUGCUGCAUGGUGGGGGUUGGAAAGUUUCGGCGGUUGGGGAUGGACUCGCGGCUUAUCAGCUUGUUGGUGGGGUAGUGGCUUACCAAGGCUUUGACGGGUAGCCGGCCUGAGAGGGUGACCGGCCAAAUUGGGACUGAGGUACGGCCCAGACCCCUACGGGGGGCAGCAGGGGGGAAAAUUGCACAAAGGGCGGAAGCCUGAUGCAGCAACGCCGCGGGGGGGAUGGCGGCCUUCGGGUUUUAAACCGCUUUCGCCUGGGACGAAGCGUGAGUGACGGUAAUGGGUAAAGAAGCACCGGCUAACUACGUG
rnacentral:rRNA from 1 species